GACGAACGCUGGCGGCGUGCUUAACACAUGCAAGUCGAACGAAGUGGCGAACGGGUGAGUAACGCGUAAUCAACCUGCCCUUCAGAGGGGGACAACAGUUGGAAACGACUGCUAAUACCGCAUACUGAAGGAGGGGAUUGCGUCGGAUUAGCUAGUUGGAGGGGUAACGGCCCACCAAGGGGAUGAUCAGUAGCCGGGCUUGGGGGAUGAACGGGCACAAUGGGACUGGGGCACGGCCCAGACCCCUACGGGGAGCAGCAGGUGGGAAUCUUCCGCAAUGGAGGAAAGUCUGACGGAGCAACGCCGCGGGAGUGAUGACGGCCUUCGGGUUGUAAAGCUCUGUUAAUCGGGACGCGGUACCGGAAUAGAAAGCCACGGCUAACUACGUGCCAGCAGCCGCGGUAAUAC
rnacentral:rRNA from 1 species